AGGGUGGGUGAUGGGGCUGGGGCGCGACGCGGAGCUUCCCGCUCCCUCCCUCUCCCCCGCCCCCCCUCCCCCCCGUUGCGCACUAUUAUUUUCCGGGCGGCGGUGUUUACGCGGGCGGGGCCUGCCGCCGCCGCGGGGGUGCGGCUGCCCGCCGGGCUCGGGUGAGGCCGCGGCAUGAGCGGGGGCUGCUCCAGUGACCCUUCCCCGGUGGCUUCCAGCGCGCCGCUCGGAUGGAGGAUGGCGAGCGGGGGUGAGAGGGGCGAGACUUGGACGGAUUUUGGUUGAAACCGUGCUAAUCAAGAUGGAAAUGGGGUUUGCUACCUGUGCGCCUCAUAAUCCUCAGCAGAGGCAGGGGGAGAGCAGUUGGGUAGUACUGGAAGAUACUUGACCGGUGCUUUGGGGUGGGGAGUCACAAGCCUUGCGGGUUGUGGUCAGGGCACAUCAGGAAUUCCAUCAGUGUGAUGCUAAAAGAAUUUUGGUUCAUGCAAAACAAGUUAAAUGCAUAGGAUUGUCAGCCCCAAAGGGACAGGAGAUGGAACUGGAGCUUUAAAAAAGCAGCCAGACAAACUUAGAGGGCUUUCAAAAGCAAGAACUGGCAGAAAGAGCUGGAAUAAAACACUGGAAACUAGAGGUUUAAAAAAAAACCCGUGGAAAUACACAAUGCUUUGGCAGUAACAAGAACAAAAAUAUGUGCUGGACUCUGAGAGUGAUGUGGGUUUUGCAGGUAGUGAUAGGGAACCGACUUAGGCUUUUUGUGUUGAGUCUGUGUGUCUUUAGUCUGAAGCCAAGCACAAAUCAUCACGUGUGUGCUGAGAUGCAAGGAAACAAAUCAUAUUUGUAUGACCACGAGCUGGAUCCUCUGGAGAAAAUGGCAUCGGCCCUCUAGCAUAUGUGUGUAACCUGAAGAGCCUUUGUGCCACAGGGUGUCGGGGAGGAGUUCUUCACCUUGGUGGUCAUGGUACGUUUAAAUCCCAUAAUAGUAGCUUCUGGAGCAGGAGGUGAAAUCUUGUAACAGUGUUUGAGGAGUGCCUGAGCUACAAAAUAGCAAUUCUCAUCGCUUCAGCCUGUGGAAUGUGGGAUUCCCAAUCCUACAUUUAUGACAUUCUACUGAAACAAGUAAAAAAUUUCUGCUGUGAUAGUAGUGCUGUUGUAAAACCACCUUGGAGUGAGAACAAAUGGUUUUGGUCAUGUAGCUUCCUCCCUUCUCAAAACUCAUCCUUGUGUGUGCAGAACUGACUAACCUUUUUUACCAAGUUGUGGGGCUUUUCUGUUGUUUUGGGCUUUUGGCUUUUUGAGCCUUUUUUCCCCCCUUCCUAUGUUGCUUUAAUGAUUAAUCUACAAAUGGUGAUAAAUCUGCAAGUUUUAGGAUGCCACAUUGAAGUGAUCUGUGCCAUCUUACGUCAGGAUUGCAUAAUCUGUUGACUGUCCCCUUUUUUUAUGUAAUGUAUGUUUGGAGUUUGUUUUAAAAUGUACAAAUAUUUUUUUUCCACUGCGUGCUUCUGCUCGGGUUAUUUCAGAUUUGUCUCUCCAUUGCCCUCUGGAGUUAAACACUUGCAUGGCACUAUUUUGAUAGCUAGCAGACUGUUAAAUGGUUUGUUGGUUGGGUUUUUUUCCUCUUUUAAAACCAGUUUCCAUCACAUCUUAGGACAUGCUGUUCUCCAGGUAAGUUUAGAGCGUUACACCCCUGCUGGAGGUUCUGCUUCCUCUCGGUAGAAAGAUGAGAGCAGCUUGUGCUGCUGAAAUUCCUCUACAUCAUACAUGGAGUUUUCAUAAAAACUUAGUAACACAUUAACUUCUCCCGUGCAACACUGUUGUGUGCUUUGAACUCAUUGCAGAACUCAGUGUCUUUGAUUCCCUUCAUGAAAACGGGGAGCUGUUGAAAUAGUUCAAUGAUCUCAGCAAUGCCUGGUGUUAGGAAACUGAAAACAAAGCAAAAAAUGGGUAAAAUAAGGUUGAUGUAAGCUUAUAGACAAGAAGUUUGCAGUGAAAGUGUUUAUUUCAUGGCUUUAUUUGAAUCCUGUGGCCCCAGAACACCCAGAACAAGCUGCUUGCUUGGAGCACCUCAAAACUUUAGGCCCCUCUUUUUACUCCAGCCAGCUGCCUGGCAUUGGGUGCUGCUCCCAUCAGUAGGCAUCGGAAUGGGUGCCAGCUCCUGAAGUUCAUGUGACAAAACUGAUUUAAGCCCAGCUAAGUUGUUCCUGGUGCUGUAAAAUUCCAGCACCCAGCAGCCUGCUUGGCUGUGAAAGCCUGUCUGGCUGUGUGCAGCAGGCAUGGCACGAUGUUACCCUCGUGGUUUCACUGCUACCAGUGCCGCUCCUCGUCUGUCACAAGUGGUGUGGCUCCAUUAAUUUACUGGCGCUCUGCCAUUGUACCCACCGCCUGCCUGCUUCAUGACAUUCAAUACUUAAGUAGUAUAACUCAAGUGCUUCUUUCUAGUUCCAGUGGUUUUCAGGGGGAGAGAGGGAUGCCCCCAUUCUCUAUGGUGAUGACUUUGUAGGGUGCUAAGUCACCUUUGCUCCAUGAAGUCCAGCCCUGGUGGUUUGGGCCAGAGGAGUCAAUUGCUUAACAACAGUUAGAGCUGCACUCCAGAAACUGCUGUGGUCAUUAAGAUCACAGUAAUUAUCUGCAUAAUUUUCAGACUGAAACCUCAGGUGCAAAGCCACUUCUGUGAAAUGCUCCUGGGCAUUUUAGCAGGUGGCUGGUCAUCUUUUGGAGGUGAUGUGGGCCUUUGGGGACACCUGUGGAAUGAGGAGAUGGAGGAGGCUGGGCAGUGCUGCGGUGGGGACACAAUGACUGACAGGCUGCCCUGGCU